UCCCUGUAAACAGUGCCAGGACGUGUAUAAAAUAAGUCAAACUUCCUGCUUACCCACAGCAGGUGCAAGAGCAGCUUAGAAGAACUAAGAAGGACUCCUACAUGCUGGUUUUAUCCCCGACUUCAUCAUGAGAUUAUUUCUGGUUUCACAGCUUCUGCUGGUGUUCGUAUCAGUCCUGGCACUGACUAGGGCACAAACAACAACUCAAACAUCAACUGACACAGCAACAACUGAAACAACAACAAC